rnacentral:rRNA from 1 species
GACGAGGGGUCCAAGCGUUGUUCGGAAUUAUUGGGCGUAAAGCGGGUGUAGGUGGCUCUAUAAGUCAGAAGUGAAAGCCCCGAGCUUAACUUGGGAAGUGCUUUUGAUACUGUAGAGCUUGAGUGUGGGAGAGGAUCGGUGGAAUUCCAGGUGUAGUGGUGAAAAUGCGUAGAUACCAGGAGGAACACCGGUGGCGAAGGCGGCUUCCUGGCCGAGUACUGACGCUGAUGCACGAAAGCGUGGGGAGCGAACGGG